GGUGACCGGCCACACUGGGACUGAGACACGGCCCAGACUCCUACGGGAGGCAGCAGUGGGGAAUAUUGCACAAUGGGCGCAAGCCUGAUGCAGCGACGCCGCGUGCGGGAUGACGGCCUUCGGGUUGUAAACCGCUUUUGACAGGGACGAAGCGCAAGUGACUGUACCUGUAGAAUAAGGACCGGCUAACUACGUGCCAGCAGCCGCGGUAAUACGUAGGGUCCGAGCGUUGUCCGGAAUUACUGGGCGUAAAGAGCUUGUAGGCGGUUUGUCGCGUCGUUUGUGAAAACUUGGGGCUCAACCUUAAGCUUGCAGGCGAUACGGGCGGACUAGAGUACUUCAGGGGAGACUGGAAUUCCUGGUGUAGCGGUGAAAUGCGCAGAUAUCAGGAGGAACACCGGUGGCGAAGGCGGGUCUCUGGGAAGUAACUGACGCUGAGAAGCGAAAGCAUGGGUAGCAAACAGGAUUAGAUACCCUGGUAGUCCAUGCCGUAAACGGUGGGAACUAGGUGUGGGGCUCCUUCCACGGACUCCGUGCCGUAGCUAACGCAUUAAGUACCCCGCCUGGGGGAGUACGGA
rnacentral:rRNA from 1 species